rnacentral:lncRNA from 1 species
AAAUUAUAAUUUAAUCAUUAAGGAAUCUUUACGUAAAACAUACGAACUUUCUUUACAUACAGCUGAUAAUUUAAAAACAUUUAGAUUGUAAAGUACUGCUUUUAUAUACGGUAACUGUUGAAUAACAGUCAACGUGUUAACUAAUAUUUUGGUAUUAGAUUUUACUGGAUCAAUCAAUUCUAGUGCAUCUUUAAAUCAACUCUAUGAUGCAUUUAUUUUUUAUACAUGUUCACACAUGUAUAUGUGGUACUUGAUUACAUUGUUACCAGUCAAAUAAUAUUAUCCAAAAUAUGUAAUGUAUUUGUUAUUUUCACAAGUGGACAUUAUCCAAACAUAAUAAUUUUGCUUCAAUUAAUGAAACCAAUGAUGCAUACAAAAAAAACUAACGGAUAAGAUAUAAGAAGAAAAUUAAUAAAAAAUAUUAUGAACAAAAGACUACAUUUGUAAGUAUUGAAAAAUGCAUGAUUCCAUUUUUAAAAAAUUAUCACAAACUUUGCAUCUUCUACAUACUACCAUAUAAUAAAAAAUCAAACAUCUUGUACAUCAAACAUUUCUUCAUAUCAUCAAAAUUGUAAAAAUUAUAUAGGUGGCCAAUUUGAAAUGAAUAAUUGGAACUAACUAAAUUUUUAAGACUGCAGGAGCAUGGUCAGAUUAUCUCUGUUAUUAAUUACUUCUUAAUUAUUUCUGUUAUUUCAUAUUAUUAUUUUACAAGUAUUGCAGAGGAAAUAGAAAGUAAAAAGCAAAAGAAGAAGAAGAAGAAGAAUUAGAAGAGGAAGAGGAAGAGGAAGAAGAAGAAGAAAUGAGAAGUUUCCUAAAUAGAAUUAAAAUAGCAUUAUUAUCAAUGUUCAAGAUUUUUCCAUAAACAUGUCUCUUUAUUAUCAUACAUGAGAAAACACGGGUGAUUUUCGAUGAGGUCGGUGGUGGGUGCGAUAUUUAAAGGGUGUUGUACAUACACGCUAAACACACUUACACGAGUUACAUCGUUGUUGUGUCGUCGUUCUUGUCCUUCUUGUAAGAAAAGUAAAAAAGGGCUUUUGUGCUCUUCUUUU